CAGUGUUUGGUUAUCCUGGAAGGAAGGCAGCUAGUUUAUUCCACAGGCGCACUCUUUUUGUUGCAAUAACGGGAACAUUGCACUGAGAAAAUAGAGACAGAUUCAAAAUGGUUUGAAAGGAAGAAGGCAUAUUCUUCACUCGUUUAAGCAGAUCUGAGAUCAGGCUUGUUACUAUCAAACCUGAGAAUUUGAACACAUGAGCGAUGUAUUAAUCCCAAUUUCAGAUUGUUAUCUGACUGAUGUGGAUAGAAAAUAAUGCUUUAUUGAUGAAGGAAAUUUUUGAAAACAAGAAUAAGGAACCACGUCUCUUGAUUGCUGUGGGUUGACAGUAUUAAUAGAUGAACAUCAGUCUACUCUUUUGGUGAAAGAAGACCAGAAAGUAAGUGCAUACUUUAUUACUUAACAAAGCACAAUAGUCUCUUUCAAGAAGUCUUGAGGCUGAUUCUCAAGGAGCUUGAAUUCAUCCACUGAAUCUUUUCUCACGGAGAAGCUUGCCUCUCAAGGUAACAGGAUGAAUGAACACUGGAUUGUUUGCUUUCUGCCAGUCGUAGUUCGCAUCUUCCCCCAGUGGUGCAUGUUAUAGCAGUUAUCUAAUUGUCUGUUUUAAAAUGGAGUAUAUUAGGCCUAAGAUGUUAGUGGAAAUACUUUGUGCACUGGUAUUUGGGAAUGUUCUCCCUUUACUUUCUUCAUAAAUGAUUUAUCAGCUGCAUUAUUGCUUGCAUCGUCUUUAUUAUGCCUCCCAAAAAUUUUUUACAGAACCCUGUUUUACUUAAGGGCCACAUAAAAGAUGAAUGAAGCUUAAUA